rnacentral:lncRNA from 1 species
UGGAAAACAUGCUCCAAUCUGUAAAACCCUGCACACUAUCUUGGCCUGCUAGCAUCCUGGGGAAAGCAAGAGAGGACCAUGUAGAUGCUACUUAAGCUUCUAACAGUCCCACAAUGCUAAGAAAUCCAAGGAUAUUGGACUAUUUGUGCUAAGCUGGAGACUAUGAAAGACAUCCUCCCAAAGAUUGGCAGAAGAUAUAAAAAUGCGGAGCUUAGCUCAUGCUGGCUGCAUUCAAGUGCAGCGUUACCAUUUGGAUGGUUAAAGCAUUUAAUGAAGGUAAUAGAAGUCUGAAGAUGUUUCUUUGAGCCCAGUAUUUUAUUAACUGAAGAUUCCCUUGAAUUUAAAGAAACCUGAACUGGUAAAGAACUGGUAUGUGAAAAUUAUCAGAUGUAGAGUACCCAUGGCUAGAUAACAUGUCAUUCACCCUUCUACUUCAGAAGCAUUAUACAAGAAAGUUAAGGGUGGGCCACAAAAUUGAAGAAGAUAUCUGUCUCAUUUCUUAACUUCUCUGGGAUGGAUUCAAAAUGGGAGAGGGAUGUAGGUGGAUGGAGGAAGCAAUAGAAAGAAUGGAGACAGGAUGGUGGAAGUGUGAGGAGAGAGAGGCAUGUCUAGCAAGAAGGCAGAAGUGAGAGAAUGUGACUUUAGGUUUAUAGUCUGGG